UCCUGGAAUUGGGGGUUACUAUCUUAGAAUCUAGGGGCACUCCAGGCUCUGGGCUCAGACGGCUGACUUCUGCCUACCAGAGCCUUAACCUUUCAAAGACCCGAAGGAUUCCAGAGCUCUUGCCCUAGGUCCUGGGGCAGCGAUGACUCACUGCAGCACCCCCUCCCACUUCGCCAAGCUGCCGUCUCCGCCCACCCCCAAACAAUCUCGACAGCGCAUUUCAGGAGCCACGGCUCCGGGCGCUUUGCUGGGGGCUAAAUGGGUUUAUCCCUUUCCUUGAAUCCCAGCAGGCUAGAACUACCCCCUCCCAGGCUUCAGGCUUGCCACGCUCUCCACCCGAUCCUUCCAUUGAAAGGCAGAGAAGGAAGGAUGUGCUUGCGAACUUUAAGACCCACGAACGACAGCGCACUGAUGGAGCAGCCCAGUGUCCGGGGAUUUUAGACAGCAGUGACGAGAGUGGCAGCCAUGGCUACUGCUGCGCGAUUUUGGAAUGGAAUGCUGCCUGAGUUUCAGCUGAGGUGUGUCAGUACGACAGAUUCAAAAUAACAGGCAAAGUCCUCGAGGUUCAUUCAUUCAGGAAGCCUCUGUCCAGCCUUUACCAUGUGCUGAGUGAGAAGCUGAGGAUAAGGAAAGAGCAAGACCCCCAAGAAACCCUGAUGUCUGGCUGAAAGCUGAAGCAUGACGCAACUUUGCUAUAUUUCUCUCCAACAAGGAUUUGUAUAUUUUCGCUUUCUCCUCAAGUAACACCUGGACCUGCUCCUUUCCCUUCAAACGCUGAGGGCUAAGUCUCCAAGUUCCUUUAUGAAACAGGGUGUACCAUCAGAGACGCAGAUGAGGCAAUUGAGGUUCAGAGAAGCAAUGUGACUUGCCCAAGGAUACGAGCUCACUGGUGGUAGAGCUGGGCCUAGAAACAAACUCAGGACUAGACAAGGCUCUACUCAGUUGGCCUCACUGCCUCUUCAAAUGCUUGGCCACAUCUCCUUCAGAUGGCAGUUUCAUGGAAAACACCGGCCAUGCAAAUCAGAUAAAGGAGCCUUCAGAAAUGAAGAUGCAAAGACAACAGGGGAAACCAUGUAUGUUUAUGGACAGUCAUGCCAAAGUAUGAUUGGAAGACAAAAAGCUUUUAAUCUUUGAAGCAAAAGAAACUUUAUGAAUGAAGCUUCCUUCACAUGGGACACACACACAGUUUAAAGCAGAUGGAAGAUCACACAGCUGGAAAAACACACAUUGUAAAGUAAGAAUUCUUCAAAGACAACUUGAAGACGUCUGGGAAUUCUGAAGCCUGAAAAUUCCAUGAGUUCAUAGCAGUGUUCACUAAUUCCACUGAUCUAAAGACAAAAAGGAGAGUCAACUGCGUGCCCAAACUCAUUUCUGAUGAUUUCUUCCAUCCUACCUUUUCUGCCUCUCUGGGGGUGGUUAUGCCUGUGAAAAACAUUGAAGCUGUCGGGAACAGAGUCGGCUUUCAAGAUUGGAAUGUCAAAGUAGAGUCUUCUUUUCCUCAGACCAGAAGGGGCUUGGUUGGGUAAGAGUUUCCAGAUCUAAAUGGAGACAGGACUGGGAUAUAGGAGCUUGUAUGGAUAAACAGCACAAACACCUUGGGUAAGUGAUACACAAAGAGAGAUCAAAAUAGGGUAGGAACACGAUCCUAAAGCUAUGUGAGAUACGAAGCCAACAGACCCUGUCUACAGGCUGAUAUGUAUUGCAACCAGAGGCCACCUACACUCAAGAAAAUUCUAAAUGAUGUGAUAGGUCGUGGAUACUUUCUUGUAAAAAUGAUCGAUAUUUUUUUCUUAUAGGGAUAAAGCUUAAAAGCAUGGUAUGUAUCUCCAUUAGGAAAUAUGAAGUGAGUUGGUGUAUUCCAGGUAGGUUAGACUGAGAUAAUUAUAAAACUGGGCUGAUUUUACAUAGAGAAGAACUUGAUUCCUAAAAGUGCUGAAGGACAAGAUGGGGACAGUUAUUGAAGUGUUCAGGUGCUGUCCUUUGUAGUCUGUAGCCUAUUAAAAUAAUACACAACUGAACACAGACCCAAGGAAAGGGGUUCUACUCAUCGCUAGAAUGUAAACUCUAAGAAGACAAGGAUUUUGUCUGCUUCAUUUACUACUGUAUUCCCAGCUCCUAAAAGAGUGUCCAUCACUUAGUAUCUGUUGCUAAGUACCUGUUGAAUUAAUUAACCAGUGGUGAGACUUUGGAAAGCAGCUAGUCCAUCUGUAAGACUGUUUUCUCAUCUGUGAGAUGAGUCAGUUAGAUUAGAUGUUUUCUAAGCUUAUUCUAGUUUUAAAAUUGUAUGUUGCUAUAAGAAAUGAUAAAUGAAAAAUGUCCAUUCCUUUUUCAUCUCCAUCACCCAUCUCACAUCUUCCUUCAGUGCCUAUGUGAUCUGUUUGAGUAUAACCAGGUGUAGAAAAGUACUAAGUGAUAUGAGAUGACUUCAGUAGUCCAGGGACUCUUUAUUCCCCCCUCUGUAAAGAGUCAUUUGCUUAAUUUAAUGUACAUUAUAAAAACAGAAUUCGUUUCUCAAUUUCAUUUAUAGUCAUAUUAUAGUCUACUUUUCACAUAAAUUUAAGGUACAAGGAAGUCAACUUAAAGAAAAUAUUUUAAGUAAAUUAUAAUGCAAGUUCUACACAGAUGUAGCACAAACCACAAUGGUAGGACACAAGCAAUUGCUAUUUGAGAAACAGGCCUCUUUGUCAGUACUUACGGCACGUAUCUUAAAACCCGACUUUCACUAGUGCUCUCAAAGGAACUAAGUCACAAUUCAAGUGACCAUACCAUUUAGCUGAGGGCCCUUUAUUCCUGUUUAUGGUAAAAUAAUUGCCUUAGUUGUACUUCUAAAAAAUAUACUUUUUCUGCUUCUGACCGUAAUGGGCUAGCUGCCAUUAAAGAGACCAUCUAUCAUAAACGAUUAGAGAACUGGAUAGAAUAUAUGAAGCCACUGUUUUUGGACAAUAGGCAGCACAAAACUAUGAUCCUCGAGAAAAAGGAAGGAAAUGAGGUGAUGCCUAUAAUUGCCCUGAUUUUUUGCCUGGAGAUACUGUCUGAACUGCUACUCUGGAAAGGAAAACUCAGGUGAAACAUGGGGCCUCACUAAGUAGAGGAGACAGGGAUCAAUAUUGGGAAAGCUGAAAUGACUGGACUUUGUAGGGCAGAAUAUGGGGAAGGAAGGAGCUAUGUAGGGAAAGAGCUCAAGAAACACGCACAAAGGGGUCAGGUGCGGUGGCUCACGCCUGUAAUCCCAGCAUUUUGGGAGGCCGAGGUGGGGGGGUUACUUGAGGCUAGGAGUUCAAGACCAGCCUGACCAACCUGGUGAAACUCUGUCUCUACUAAAAAUACAAAAAUUAACCGGGCAUGGCCGGAUGUGGUGGCUCCUGCCUGUAAUCCCAGCACUUUGGGAGGCCGAAGCAGGUGGAUCACAAGAUCAGGAAUUCGAGACCAGCCUGACCAACGUGGUGAAACCCCUUCUCUACUAAAAAUACAAAUAUUAGCUGGGCGUGGUGGUGCAUGCCUGUUAAUUCUAGCUACUCAGGAGGCUGAGGCAGGAGAAUCGCUUGAACCCAGAAGGCGGAGGUUGCAGUGAGCCAAGACUGCUCCACUACACUCCAGCCUGAGAGACAGAGCAAAACUCCAUCUCAAAAAAAAAAAAAAAAAAAAUUAGUCAGGCAUGGUGGCAGGCACCUGUAAUCCCAGCUACUCAUAGGCUGAGGCACAAGAAUCACUUGAACCCAGGUGGCAGAAGUCACAGUGAGUGAAGAUCGCACCACUGCAUUUCCAGCCUGAGUGACAAAGUGAGACUCUGUCUCAAAAAUAAAAAUAAAAAUAAAAGAAUAUGCAAAGGAUGUUCUUGAGUUUUUGGCUGAUUAUGAAACUAUAUAGGGUAAGACUCCACAAGUGAAAGAACAGUACUUGGAAAGACAAUUAUUGAAGAACUAUAAACUGAACAACUACCAGAUCUCCUCCUGAACUGAAAUAUAUUCAAGUUCCAGCCAAAGUCAAGACACACAAUUGAAUUCAUGCAUCAUUUAGUAGAGACCCCAAAAUAUUCAUGCCUCAGUAGUAAUGCAAAAUUGUCCCUACAAUAAAAACUACAGUAGCUCCCCCUUAUCCACAGUCUUACUUCCUGGAGCUUCAGUUACCCACAGUCAACUUCAGUCCAAAAAUAUUCAAUGGAAAAUCUCAGAAAUAAGCAAUUCAUAAAUUUUAAAUUGUACACUGUUCUGAGUAGCAUAACGAAAUUUCAAGCCAUCCCACUCUGUCCCACCCAGAACAUGAAUCAUCCCUUUGUCCAGUAUAUGCUACCCUCCCAUUGGUCACUUAGGUUAUCAGAAUGACUGUGGCAGUAUCGCAGUGCUUAUACACAAGUAACCCUUGUUUCAUUUAAUAACAGCCCCCACAUGCAAGAAUAGCGAUGCUGGCAAUUUGGAUAAGCCAAAGAGAAGCCACAAAGUACUUCCUUUAAGUAAAAAUGUGAAAGUUCUUGACUUAAUAAGGAAAAAAAAGUCGUGCUGAGGCAGCCGAGAUCUACAGUAAGAACACAUCUUCUAUCCUGGGAAUUGUGAAGAAGGAAAAAGAUAUUCGCUAGUUUUGCUGUUGCACCUCAAACUGCAAAAGUUACCACCACAGUUCAUGCAAAGUGCUUAGUUAAGAUGGAAAAGGAGUUACAUUUGUGGGUGCAAGACAUGAACAGAGAGGCAUUCCAAUCAAUAGCAAUCAGGUUCAGGGGGUACUGUCCUCAGUUUCAGGCAUCCACAGGGGGUCUUGGAAAGUAUUCCCCAUGGGGGGGGGGGGGAAGCUACUGUACUCCAUACUUGUUUUAAUAAAACUUUUUAGAAAUCUCAAAAAGAUUAAGCUAAUCUACAUGAAAUUUAAAUGCUUGCUAGAACAAAGCACAAUGCUCUUUAAAGGAGCAAAACUAAAUCCAGACAAUCAAUACUGUAACACAAUGUUUAGCAACAUGCAAUAAAAAAAUUACUAGACACACAAGAAAUUAAAAAAAAUUUACUUUCCAUGACCAGGAGAAAAAUGCAUCAACAGAAAGAGACCCAGAAGUGAGAGAGAUGAUAAAAUUAGUGGACAAGGACUUUCAAACAGCUAUCAGUAGUUUAAGUAUGUGUAUAAAAACAUAAAUGCAAUGAGAGAAAUGCGAACUGUAAAAAAGAACCUAGUGAAACUUCUAAAGCAGAAAAAUAUAAUAUCUGAAGUGAAAAAAUUCACUAGAUAGUUGCAAUAACCAUUUGAUAUUGCAGAAGAAAAAGGUCAGUGAGCUUGAAUAGAACAGAGAGGAAAGUAUAGUCUUUUCAACCAUUAGUGCUGUAACAAUCAGACUGUAUUGAAAAAGACUAACUUUGGUUCCUACCCCUUACCACACGCAAAAAGUAAACUAGACAAAGAUUGUGGAACUAAAUGUAAAAGCUAAAACAAUAAAAUUUUAUGGCCUGGCCAUAAUGGAUUUCUUAGACCAUAAAAAGUACUAACCAAAAAAGACCAAAUUGUUAGAUUUCCUCAAAAGCAAAAACUUUUGCUACUGACAAAGCACCAUUAAAAAAUAAGUCAAGUCAAAGAUUGAAAGAAAAUAUUCACAAUGCACAUCAUAGAGUUGUAUCUGGACUAUAAGAAGAACUUUUAUGACUCAAUAAUAAAAAGACAACCACGUUUUUAAGAGGAGCAAAAGAUUUGAACAUACAUUUCACAGAAGAAUAUAAGGGUGAGUAAACACUAAAAGAUACUUAACAUCAUAGUCACCAUAGAAACGCAAUUUUAAACCACAAUGAGAUACCAUUACACACCUACUAAAAUAGCUAAAAUGUAAAAAGGCAGAUAUUACCAAGAUUUGGAGAGGAUUUAGGAGUACUGGAAAUGUCAUACAUGGGUAGUGAGAGUGUAAAAUAGUAUAAACAUCUUAGAACACAAUUUGGUAGUUUCUUAUAAAGUUAAAGACAUGCUUAUCAUAUAACUCACCAACCCCUAUUCUAGGUAUCAGCCCAAGAAAAAUAAAAAACGUAUGUCUGCUACACAGACUGCUUGUCUACCUAUGUAUGAACACUUGUUGAACACAAUGUGAAUGAAUCUCAAAAAUAUUUUGCUGAGUAAAAGUGCCCAAUCCCCAAAAAGUACACAUCAUAUGACUCAAUUUGUUUGAAGAUCUAAAAUAGGUAAAUCUAGUCUUUAUUGAUACAAAAUAUAAUGGCAGCUGGGGUUAGGGUGGGAGGUUGCCUGGGCAGAAACAGAAGAUAAUAUUUUAGUGAAUUGGGAAUUUUAUGUGUCUUGAUUUUGGUGAUCAUUAUACAUAUGUAUGCAUAUAUCAAAACUUAAACUGGACACUUAAAAUACAUUGAUUUUGUCUCAUGUAAAUUAUACUUCAAUAAAGUUAAUAAGGUCUGCAUAUUUAUACCCUUCUAGGGAAAAGAUACUACAGACUUCCACCCACACAUCUUUCAUGUCACGCAUGUUUUCAGUUUUUCUUUUCAGAUUUGUGUUACGCUGUCUGUCCUUUCCUACUCCUAGUUUCAGCCCCACUACCACCACCAUGCUUCAUGACCAUCUCAGACAAACAUAAUUAGUGACAGUUGUCAUGACAGUGAAUAACCUCAGAGGUACAAAAAGAAAACUGCACAGACUGUUCCCAAUCAGGUGGCAAACCUGUGAAAAGUUUGUAGCAUACGAAUUGAGAUCUACGAAUCUAUCUAUAAUCUUCUCACAUUAAUGCCAUGAUGCUUCAUUUAAUUUUUGCUUACACAGAUCUCUAACAACUCUAUAUUUUUCUUCUGAAUAAAAACUAAGAAUGUUUUCCCAAGUCUAUGCAUCCGAAUGUCAUGGGUGCAUGGGUGAAGGAAGGCAGAAAGAAACUUGGAAUAAGAUUGAACAGCUGUAGUCAUACUUUCAUUAUUUGAAAGCUUUUUGGACCAAAGAUAAUACACUGUGGGUUUUGUUGCCAAAAACGUCAGAUUUUUGGUUCCAGCUCAUGAUCCAGAAGCUGAAAGUGUGUCAGCCUGGUAAUAGUAUCCAACAAUAAUUCAGUUCUAUAGUCUUUGUAGAAUGAUGGACAAAAUGAAUGUCAACAACAUUAAGCAGCCAGAAACCAAAGGUACCUUGUGACCUAGCGGCAAGGAAUAAGAGAAUCUUAACAGAUGUAGUUUAUAGCAUUACUGUUGAUGAAGUUAGUAACCUUUAGCAAGGAGUCAUAGAAUCGAUAGCAGCCUGGCAGUUUGCAGCUGCAGAAAUUUAUGUGGGAAUUGACCAGGAAGUAAGGUGCAAGAGGAGUUGGCAGAAUAUUUAAACCAGAUGAAAAAAUUUUAGGUUAAUUAUAAAGUGUCCAAAAUGUGGAAUUAGAAUGAUUUCUUCAAUUUCCUACAAAAUGGACCAAUGUUUAUGAAAGCAUCCCAAAUGUAAAGAAUUAUACAUUGAUAAAUGUACAGAAAGAACAUUUGGGUGUUUAUACUGUGGCAUUGAAAUGCCGAAUGAGAAAAUACAUUUCAGAAAUUCAGUGCAUGCACUUACAUUUAUCAGUGCACCCUCUCUUUCUCUGCUUAGAUUUAUGGUGUUAUUAUUGAGAUUCAUAUAAUACGGCCUACUCAAUUGGACAAUUGGAAUAUUGUUAUACAGAGUUAAUCAACAGACUCUGUAUAAGUGAUAAGGCCUCAGAGAAGAAGAAUAUUAGAGCUCAACUCCAGCACAAUGAGUCGUUAACACCCUUGGGAAUGUAUAGCUGUUAAACAAAACAAGCAGACCAUAUUGCCCUGUGAAUUCAAAGGGAUCUAAUGGGAAUUUCAGAGUAAAUUUAUUUUAAGGUGUGUAGGAAGCCUAAUCAUUUAAAGUGCUUUUUCUGUUCCGAAGCAAUUCAUCGCACCACAUCUUUUCAUUUAGUACUGAUCAGUUUCCUUAAAAGAUUAGGAGGUGAAAGGAUGCACUCCAAAAAGAGUGAUCCUUCUUAAUAUUUUGCAUUUAAAACUCCUUUCACAGCCUUCUACGAAUCUGUAUUAGCUCUCCUGUCACAACUUAAUGUAUAUCUUUUGGCCUCAGAAAAUUUGGGGGUGUUUAGGAUGUUUAUGUUUUAUACUAGUAAAACCUAUCUAGAAACAAGCAAAGUGCUCACCAAAAAUAGAAGGUACCAUCAAAGUGACAAAAUAAUCAGGUAAUUGUGGGCAACUUAGAUGCUCAAGUCAGCAGGAGACACGUUUAUAUCCUCAAACCUUGUAUACUGCUGUUCAAAAUAUUCAUUUAAAAAGUGAUGGUAAAUAAAUCCAACUUUUUAUAACUUUUUGCUGUUUACUCCCUCACGAGUGUGUCAACUUGAAGUCAGUGAUUAAUUUUGGAGUCAAGGUCCAAAUGCAAUUGGACCUGCCUGUAGAAAUAACAGUAAUAUUUCAUAGAAGUCUUUCUCACUUUUCACUGUCAUAUUUAGAAACCCCAAAUAGAACACCGCAUUAAAACUAAAUGAAACUGCAAAUGACUUUUAUGAAAGAGGAUAACAUUUUUAGCAGUGACUUUUUUGACUUGGCAAGACUGGGAGUUUGAAUACUGUGCUGUGUACACUAGCUCUUUCCAUGACACCAACUCUUGUUAGCUGCCUACAUUUGUCCCGGUAAUAACAGCAACCGCAACUACAACUAACGUUUAUUUCUUGUUGUCAAUGUUGACAUGGAUAUGGAGAAAAGGUUACACAUAUACAUUGCUGGUGGGAAUGUAAAUUAGUUCAACCUCUAUGGAAAACAGUAUGGAGAUUUCUCAAAGAACUAAAAAUAGAACUACUAUUUGAUGCAGCAAUCCCACUACUGGGUAUCUACCCAAACGUAAAGAAAUUAUUAUAUCAAAAAGACACCUGUACUUGUAUGUUCAUCACAGCAUUAUUUAUAAUAGCAAACAACCUAUGUGUUCAUCAAUGGUUGACUAGAUAAAGAAAAUAGGGUAUGUAUGUGUGUGUGUGUGUGUAUAUAUAUGUACAUACAUACACACAUACCCUAUUUUAUGUGAUAUGAAUAUAUAUAAAAUAGAAUACUAUGCAACCAUAAAAAAGAAUGAAAUCCUGCUCUUUGUAGCAACAUAGAUGGUGCUGGAGGCCAUUAUCCUAAGUGAACUAACUCAGAAACAGAAAACCAAAUACCGCAUGUUCUCACUUAUAAAUAGGAGCUAAACAAUGAGUACCUAUGGACAUAAAGAUGGAAAUAAUAAACACUGGGGACUCCAAAAGUGAGGAAGGUUAGGGGUGAGGGUUGAAAAAAUACCUACCUGGUACAAUAUUCACUAUUUGGCUAAUGGAUACACUAGAAACCCAAUCCCCACCAAUAUGCAAUAUACUCAUGUAACAAACAAGCACAUGUACCGCCUGCAUCCAAAAUGUUAAAAAAAAAAAAAAAGAAAAGAAUAAAAUUGACUGUUGUCUCUGUUCAAAUCACUAUUCUAAGUCCUUUCCGUGUAACCCGCUGAGUUCUCUGAAUAAUCCUACUCAUUAGUUAUUUCC